rnacentral:rRNA from 1 species
ACGCUGGCGGCGUGCCUAAUACAUGCAAGUCGAACGCUUCUUUCCUCCCGAGUGCUUGCACUCAAUUGGAAAGAGGAGUGGCGGACGGGUGAGUAACACGUGGGUAACCUACCCAUCAGAGGGGGAUAACACUUGGAAACAGGUGCUAAUACCGCAUAACAGUUUAUGCCGCAUGGCAUAAGAGUGAAAGGCGCUUUCGGGUGUCGCUGAUGGAUGGGCCCGCGGUGCAUUAGCUAGUUGGUGAGGUAACGGCUCACCAAGGCCACGAUGCAUAGCCGACCUGAGAGGGUGAUCGGCCACACUGGGACUGAGACACGGCCCAGACUCCUACGGGAGGCAGCAGUAGGGAAUCUUCGGCAGUGGACGAAAGUCUGACCGAGCAACGCCGCGUGAGUGAAGAAGGUUUUCGGAUCGUAAAACGCUGUUGUUAGAGAAGAACAAGGACGUUAGUAACUGAACGUCCCCUGACGGUAUCUAACCAGAAAGCCACGGCUAACUACGU